AGUGGUAUCAAUGAAGUUGCAUGUAAUUUUGUUGGCAGCAUAUUUUAUAUAUAUUUUUUAAAAUGAUGAUAAUGUAAUAGAAAUAUGUUGGUAAUUACACAAGAACUGAGGAAAAAAUGAGUUGCAUAUUAUGUGUGUAUUGUGUUCACAGUUUCCUAAAAAUGAUUUUAUGUAUCUUCAUCUAAUGCAGGGAUGAGAAGCUAACUGAGGGAGGAAGUGAAGAAGGUACAUAAAAGAUUGUGGGAGGAUUUCUUUGAUCCGAACUUAGACAAGCAUGGCAAUUUUUUUGAUUCAGACGACGAAUAUGAAGAUGAUCAAGAGGAAUAAUAUUAUUGGGAAAAAGAAAUCAACUUCGGCUAUAAGGCUAGAAAGAAUGUUAUGAAAGCGAUAGAGAUGGUUGAUAAGGAUACUCAGAUGAGCUAUUAUGGAAAGGUUCUGAGUGCAAGACGAAACAAAAAGAUAGUGAAUAAGAAGAAAUUUAUAGGUAGUAGGUGAUACGAGUAUGCUAAAAAUAAGAGGUUAAAAAGAGGAGACAAGCUAGGAUUUUCAUAGGUACAUUCUCUCCAAAUACGUUGUAUGUGUCCUUGUUAAAUCGUCGAGGUUCCUUGAAAAAAGAGUUGUGCAGUUGGAGAGUAAUGAAUGGUGGUUCUGUCUAUUUUGCUGUUGGUGUUGUGAUGAAGUUGAUUUAAUGAUGCAGUAGUAUUUUGUUAAAGAUUUUUUUUCAGAAGGUGCUUUGUUGUAGUAGUGUAAUGUUAAGUUGGAACAAAUUUAUUUUGAAAGUAUGGUUAGUAAGAAAGUUUGUAAUGUUAUGUUUAUUGUAUGAAUAAUGUUAUAUGUUUGGUAUAA